GGUCGUUUUCUUUUCUUAGGCUGGGGGUUAGGGGGAGGGUGGGCGGAACGCCAUGCGUGCUUUCCAUCUGGUUCUCAAAGCUCGUCUCCACCCUGCAUUGCCUUUGAAUUUCUAGCUUAUUCUGUGACAGUUGCUGGCAGGUACGACCUCCGCCCCCUCCUCUUUUGGGGAUAUCGUCACAGACCGUCCCAAAGCGGAAUUCGGGGGCUGGAGGACAAGGCAGGGUAUGGUCUCCACAAGGUCUUUAGAGGAGACAGACUCAGCUUGGUCCUAGAUGUAGCCCCGCUCAGUACACACAGAGCCCGCUUACAUAUGAACUCAACAAAUGCUUCUGGACCCAAUAAACGAACCCCUUUCAUAUUUUCUUAUCUCGUUUGAGGGGCCACAAGAAUCCUGAGAAUGAAAACGAUAUGACGCCCACUUUCCAAAAACGGAACACGGGGGCGCAGACUUCGUUCCGAGGCCUCUCUCCCCGGCUGAGCGCACGAAAGCGUUGGACACCUCUCCGGCCAGCCGAGGUUUCUGAGCAGAAGCGCACUCCCCGCUUUUCACAGUCCUCGGGCCAGGCUUCAGGUUAUUUUGCAGAUUAAAUGGGAUAAUGGAUGUAAACACAUCCGAGACACCUGGGCCUGGAUUUCUCAAUGAAUACCCAGGGCAUCAACAACAUAGAGACGCGGACAAAAUGAGAAGAAAAUUGACGGAAGCCGAAGCUGGCUGGUUUUGUCACUUGCAUUGACCAGAAGAAUAUGAUGAAAGUGAUGUUGUGUGACUUCAGGGUAGACCUCAAGCAGCUUUUUGCAGCUUCCAGUUUUGCCCACUCAGAAUCCAGCUGCCAGGUGCAGUGGAGUAGGUGCCGACUCAUAGUGACCCUAUGUACACCAGUUGAAAUACUGCCUGGUCCUGUGCCAUCCUCACAAACGUUAUGUUCGACCCCUCGUUGCAGCUACUGUGUCAGUCCGUCUUGUUGACAGUCUUCCUCUUUUUCACCGACCCUCUACUUUACACCAAGCAUGAUGUCCUUCUCCAGAGACUGGUCCCUACUGAUGACAUGUCCAAAGAACAUGAGAUGAAAUUUCAUCAUCCUCCCUUCUCAUUAGCAUUUUGGCUGUACUUCCUCCAAGACAGAUUUGUUCAUUCUUCUGGCAGUCCAUGGUAUAUUCAAUAUUCCUUGCCAACAUCAAUUUACUAAUUUAGUAAAAUGUAAUUUUACUAAUAAUUUUACUAACAAUAAAAUUAGUAGUUACCACACAAAAAUAUUACACCUUGCAGUUCAUUCUUUGCCUGUUUUAAAAUUUAAAUACAAAAGCUUCAAGAGGUCCCAUGGAAUUGACAAUCGCAGUGCUAUCAAUACUUAUUUUGAGUCUAGUGUAUAUGUAGUAUACACUAUUUUGAGUCUAGUGUAUAUGUAGUACCAAAGGGACUGGAGACAUGACUGCGCAGAAGCGCGCUCGAACAGUUCAGAGCUGUGAUGAUCUGACUCUCAAACGCUGGUCGGUGAGUCUGAGUCUGCCUGUAUCAGGGGCUGACUGUGUAACUGGGCGUUCUCUGGAUUAGCUUCCUUGGAGAAGAUAAUGUUUAUUAAUGUAUAAGUAACUAAAAUGUGCUGAUUUGAAGCUUACAAAUAUUAAAACACAAAUUAGACCAACAAAAGGUUUCAGAGAGGAGUAUUUUAUCACUGCCGUGGUUUAGACCAGCUUUCCAUCAGUUUCACCGUUGUUUUUACAUUCUCUACAGACAACACACCCCUCGUUGCCUGCUGGGGCUUCUCCCGUGGCCCACUCAGCUAGGCCCAAAGCUCCCUGAGGUCAGAGCACCCAUCUGAUUGGCACUCUGGCCAGCGUAUCCCCGGCCCUUCGCAGAGCAGGGCACAACACAGCCCGCUGCCGUGGAGCCGACCUCGCCUCAUGGUGACCCCGUGUGCGUCAGAGCAGAGCUGUCUGCCACAGGGUUUUUAAUGGCUGAUUUUUAGGAAGUAGAUCACCAGACCUUUCUUCUGAGGCACCUCUGAGUACACCGCCCAGUGGCUUCUGGCACAACAUAGACUCCCGAUAAUGUCUGAUCAGUGAAGAAAGGAAGGAGCCAACUCAGGUAUGGGUGUGGCUGCCAAAAACACCAUCAUCAUCAACACCAUCCACAAACCCCAACUGUAUGUACCUCCAAAACCCCCAUCUGCAAACUGGCAUGGUCCUCAAAGACAUUCAUAAUGAAAACAGGGAACAGUAAGGACAAGCAUCUUAGUCAUCUAAUGCCACUGUAACAGAAAUACUGCAAGUGGAUGGCUUUAACAAAGAGAAGUUUAUUCUCUCUCAGUUCAGUAGGAUAAAAGUCUGAAUUCAGGAUGCUGGCUCCAGGGGAAGGCUUUCUUCCUCUGUUGGCUCUGGAGGAAAAGUCCUUGUCCUCAAUCUUUCUUUGGUCUAGGAGCUUUUCCAUGCAGGAACCUCAGGUCCAAAGGACGCGCUCUGCCUCCCAGUGCUGCUUUCUUGGUGGUAUGAGGUCCCCAUGUCUCUCUGCUUACCUCUCUCUUUUAUAUUUCAAAAGAGAUUGGCUUAAGACACUAUACAAUCUUGUAGAUCUCAUCAAUAUAACUGCCACUAAUCCAUCUCCUUACAUCAUAGUGAUAGGAUUUACAACACUUAGGGAAAUCACGUCAGAUGACAAAAUGGUAGACAAUCAUACAAUACUGGGGAUCAUGACCCAGCCAAGUUGACAGAUAUUUUGGGGGGAUACAAUUCAAUCCAUGACAACAAGGGUAACUCAUUUUUUUAUUCAUCUUUCUUCACCUUAAAAAGUUCGGAUAUCAUGAUCACGUAUGUUUGUGUUACAGCGCCCUUUUGUUUACUGAAUGACAGUACAGGACUGUAUGUGUGGCUAUUGAACAGGUGAGCCGUGGCCAGUGCAAACCGAGAUGUGCUGUAAGUGCGAAAUACAUGCCAGGUUUUAAAGAUUUAAUAUUCAAAAAUAAUGUAAAAUAUCACAUUAAUAUUUUUCUACUGAUUUUAUGAAUUAUAUGUUGGCUAUAUUGGGUUAAAUAAAAUAUAUUAAAAUUAUUUUCAGUAAUCUUUUUUUAACGUGGCUACUAAAAAAUUUAAAAUUACACUUGUGGCUUGCAUUAUAUUUCUACUAGCACUAAUAUAGAAAAUGAAGGUUUUUCUCAUUUUGGCAAUAUAAAAAGGUGUCAAUCAUUUUCUAGUCCCCCGAUUUUAAAAGGUGUCCUUUUUGGGGGGUAGUGGUGGUAGUUAUUAUUUUUUGAACCCUGACUGAAUGCUGGAUUGCCAACCCAUGAGAUGUAGCUUGAGUCUCAGGGAAGCACAAGGCAAAGAAGUGGCUAGAGCUGGGGAGAUGCUCAUGGGGUGGACAGGAGAGUGUCAUUUUAUUGACACUGGCAGGACUGGGAAUGGGGGAUAGUCAGAUUGGGAGAAGGAAGGAUUGAGGUGACUAGAUGGGACAAGACAUUUUAUUUUGAUCGUUGGACCCAGGUGGUUACUCUGAGGCACAUUAGCCUUUUGACCUACCAGGGACUCACGCUCUUACUCUAAUUCACACCCCACUGGUACCUCUCCACAUCUCCUGGGGUAUAAUCCUUCCCUCCACAACCUGACUCUGAAAUUCUGUUAUGUGGUGUCCUGAAUGGGAUUCUGAAACAGAAAAAACGACAUUAGGUUAAAACUAAGGAAAUCUGAUUAAAUUAUGGCCUUUAGUUACAAUGUAUUAGUAUUGGUUCAUUAAUUGUAACAAAUACACCAUAUUAAUAUAAGAUGUUAAUCAUAGGGGUACUGGGUUGAGGGG